rnacentral:rRNA from 1 species
CACGGAGAGUUUGAUCCUGGCUCAGGACGAACGCUGGCGGCGUGCUUAACACAUGCAAGUCGAACGAUGAAGCCCUUCGGGGUGGAUUAGUGGCGAACGGGUGAGUAACACGUGGGCAAUCUGCCCUUCACUCUGGGACAAGCCCUGGAAACGGGGUCUAAUACCGGAUAACACUCUGUCCCGCAUGGGACGGGGUUAAAAGCUCCGGCGGUGAAGGAUGAGCCCGCGGCCUAUCAGCUUGUUGGUGGGGUAAUGGCCUACCAAGGCGACGACGGGUAGCCGGCCUGAGAGGGCGACCGGCCACACUGGGACUGAGACACGGCCCAGACUCCUACGGGAGGCAGCAGUGGGGAAUAUUGCACAAUGGGCGAAAGCCUGAUGCAGCGACGCCGCGUGAGGGAUGACGGCCUUCGGGUUGUAAACCUCUUUCAGCAGGGAAGAAGCGAAAGUGACGGUACCUGCAGAAGAAGCGCCGGCUAACUACGUGCCAGCAGCCGCGGUAAUACGUAGGGCGCAAGCGUUGUC